rfam:Ovis aries breed Texel chromosome 1, whole genome shotgun sequence.
GCGUUGGUGGUUCGGUGGUAGAAUUCUCGCCUAUCACGUGGGAGACCCAGUUUGAUUCCUGGUCAAUGCA